CUCCCUCCUAGGUCUGGCUCAUUGGUUUUUCUGUUCAUUCUAUUUCUCUGUCAUUGUUCCUGCUGGUGCUUCUUUUUGCCCAUUUUUUGUUGCUUUCUUUUCGUUAUCUUUUGUUUCCUUGUUCUUUUAUGCUGGUUUCUUCGAGACCAUCUUGCUGGUUUUUAAAUGGAUUUGAUUGGAUAUAUAUGCAGGUUUGUGUGGUCUUCAUGCUGUCUCUGACGGACUGCUCUCCUUCUGGUUUGCUGUUCCUGCGUGUCUGAUCUCCUUAUAGGUUCGUCUUCACCUCGUCGCCUGUUUGUCGGUUCUUAUAAGUUCUUCGAACAUCCUUUUUCCGUGGCAUUAUGGGUGUUUAUUGAUUGCUGCUUUGAGGACAGUGCAUCCUUAUCAGGAUUUGUGCACUGUGCUCCUUUUAAAACGUGUUAAGUAUUGUAGCAG
rnacentral:lncRNA from 1 species